CCAUGGAACACAGCGUCCUGGUGUGGAAUUUCCCCCUUGUUGUGGCUCCAACAGUUUUGGGUGGGGAGCACUUGGCUUUUGGGCUUGGGCCCACGUAACUGGGUGGGCGGCUGAUUUUUUUUUUUUUUUUUAGCGGGGGAGAGAAAUCUGUCUUUUGGGAAAAUGGCUCGAGGGUUGCAGGCUGCAGGGAGCCGAGCCGAAGGACCUUGGCCCGCCUGUGGCCCCACCUGUGGCCCUGGCCUGUGCAGCCGCUGCAGGCUGCUUCUCCUGAGGUCUGGAGAGAGGAAGAGCUCCUGAGGUCUGGAGAGAGGAAGAGCCCCUCCUUGCUGAGCGCUGGACCUGUCCCUUGAGGUGACAUCAUUGCUGGCUCUCUGCCACCCCUGCAGCUUCUGGAGUGUGGGGGCUGUGCUGCCGGCCCAGCCUCCACCGGCCAAUUUAUUGCCGCCUGCUUUUCUUGGAUCUGACAGCGCAGAGUUGGAGAAAGGGUUUGAAUUGGUCCCAAGGAAAUAAUUCAGAAGAGGACAACAUCCCAGGCCAGGAGGGUCUGGUGUGCGGCAGUCUCGCCGGUCAGUGGGGACCUGGAUCUUAGAACUGGGGUGGCUGCAUCUCUCCCUGACCCCCGCCAGCACCUGUGACAAGGGCUGUUGGCUCAAAUGUGUGGUGGAAGAGAAACUUCAUCCUCACGGACUCUCCCUCCUUGCUCUUCAGAGCCGCUCCACCACUAAAUUGCAUAGAAUGGGCUCAAACUUGCAAUCCUCCUGCCUCAGCCUUCUGAGAGCCAGGCUGACAGGUGGCACCACAGUGCUGGCUCAUUCUGAGCUUCCCACGGGGCUGACGCCGGGUGUCAGGGACCGUGCUCACCACCCCAAAGCCCACAGGAAAGCGCCUCCCUUGUGCAGACUGUGGCUUCCUCCCAGGGAACAAGCCCAGGAAGAGAGCAGAAGGUGGCAACAGGAAGGCACCCUCAGGGUUCAAGACGCCCUGCACCCUCCAGACUUGGCGUCUCUCUGGCAUCUGCGUUUGGUGACCAAGGCUGGGUCCACGGUGUAGCAGCAGCUACUCGGGAGUCAGUAAAAAUCCUUGGUGUCUCUGAGGGGAAGCCAGGCCACCCACGAGGCCCUGACAGAGCCCAGGCUGGGCACAGCACUAGGAAUUCCCAGCCUGCACCCUGGCAGCGUGAGGGUUCUGCACUCUGACAGAGUGCAAAGGUGGCACAGAGGGGGAGCUGCUGGGGAAGAGAGUCUGCUCCCCACCAGCACCCAGGGGCUCCUGACACCACCAAUUCCACAUGGGCGUCGUGCACGGACCCCAGAUGACACAGUCCCAGGGGAAGGGAACCAGAGCCUUGCUUCUCUCCCCUAGGGGAGGUGUUUGCAGGAGGAGCGGGUGGUACUCUGCAUCAUGAGCCCCCGAGCAUGUCUGAAACACCCUCAAGAACACCCCAGCUAGGGGCUGGGGAUUUGGCUCAGUGGCAUAAACACCUGCCUCGCAAGCAAGGUCGUGAGUUCGAUCUCCGGUACUAAUAAAAAUGAAAAAGACAAAAAAAAAAAAGAACACCCCAGCUAAGCACGGUGGCACAUGCCUAUAAUCCCACCACUUGGAAGGCUGAGGCAGGAGGAUCGCCAUGGAUUCAAGGCCAGCCUGAACUGCAUAGCAAGACUGUCUCAAACAAACAAUGAAAGAAACAAAAACCCAGACCAUGUCAGAUCCAUGCCGCUUUCCACAGCUGCUAGGCCACUUCCGUCACCCACAGGGCUGCCGACUUUUAUCUGUCUGCUUGCCUUCAGGGCCAGAAGUUCAAUUUAGAAUUCUCGUCUCUUCAAUUGUUCAUUUGUGGUCUACUUUCCGUGCUGGAAGAAAGGGAAAGCCUAUGUCUCUCUGGCUAUUUUUUGUAGCCCAGAACAAAACAAACUACUCGACCUCCACUCCCGACAGCUCCGGAAGUCUGCGGCAGACGAUGCAGGACUGACAGAUGUCUGCAGGGGCUGCCGGACUGCUCCAUGUGAUGUGACACAAACCACUCCUUCCUCCGUAAUCGCCCUUCCGGCCCAGGAGCCCUGUGCCGCCAUCCCUCCGUCCUUGAGCGCAGAGUGAUGCGAAGUCCCCAGCGGUCUGGCCUGGCUGACGUAAUGGUAGAGGUUCAGGCUUCGCCUCUCCUGGGCUGGGUGCACUUUACAGGGUUCUGCUUGUGGUGGAGAGGUUCAUUCUCAGCAGAUGGGGCCACUCUCGCCCUCUCGGGGCCCCUGGCUUGUCUUCCAUGCCCAGGGCCGCACUGUGGGCUGAGGCUGGUUGGUAGGGCCGGCCCUGUCCACACUGCAAGGUGCCUGGCGUCCCGGCCCUAUCCUGUGGCCAGCUUUGUGGCCCAAGUCACAGGUGUCACAGGACAGCCCCCCACCCAUUCCUCUUUCCAGGCUGCAGCUCAGACCCAUAGCAGAGCUGGACGUGGUGGCACACACCUGUCACCCCAGCAAUGGGAGGCUGAGGCAGGAGGAUCAUUGGAGUCUAGAGUCAGCCUGGGCUCCAUAGUGAGUUCAAGGCCAGCCUGCACUGCAUACUGAGACCCAGCCUCUGAAAAAAAAAAAAAACAGAAAUACAUAAAAACAAAAGAGGAUUAAGAGACUCAGCAAACACUCGGUUCUCAUAGUUUCAGGGUGUUUCCCCUGAGGUAGAAUUCAUUUAGGAUUCACUGCCAGCUUUUAGCGAGCACAGUCCUGUGACAUCCCCUGUGGUCACUGUGUGAGCCAGUGUCACUCCCUGCUGUGAACACCAUCGAGCUGGACCUUAUGGCCCCCGCAUGAGUGUGUCUGGGUCCCUACCACACGUCCCAGGGAUCUGCCGACCCAGGAGCCAUUGGGCAGGAGACUUUGGGGCCUAGGUUCUGUCUCCCGGCAGUUUCUAGGGUCAGCCACCCCGUGGCAGAGAUCAGUCCUUCAUCCCAUCCUACGAGCACAUGACACCCCACGGCACCCUCCGACAUGCUCGUCUCUCUGCUCAUCAGAUCUGAGCUGUUUCUACCUCCUGUCUGCCAGGAAUCAAGGCCGUAUGCAUUCUUUUUGUUGUUGUUGUUGUUUUGUUUGUUUGUCUUUUUGAGACAGGGUCUAUGCAGUUCAGGCUGGCCUGGGGGUCACUUUGUAGACCAGACUGAUCUUGAACUUGUAAUGAUCCUCCUGCCUCAGCCUCCCGAGUGCUGAGAUCACAGGUGAGCACUAUCCUACCUGGCUCCCAUUCACAUUCUCUCCUUUCUUUCUUUCUUUUUUUUUUUUUUUUUGUCUAAUUUGAGACAGGGACCUGCUAUGCUGUUCAAGCUGGCCUUGGGCUCACUUGUAGUUCAUAUUGGCCUUAAACUCAUGAAGAUCUUCCUGCCUCAGCUCCUGAGUGCCGGGAUGACUGGUGUGCACCACUGCGCUUAGCUCUGGUACAAGUUUUGGGAUAGACGUGUUUUCAUUUUCCUUGGGGAUAGACUGAGAAAUGGAUCUCAGGGUGAUGAACAAGUCUGAGGAACCACCAGGCUUUGACCCCAGUUCACAGGCCUGCCGGCAAGGUGUACACUGCUCCUCCUCCUCCUCCUUCUUGCCCUCCUCCCUCCUGUGGCAUCGCAGCCUCUCGGCAUAUGCUCCAUAGCAGUCACCAUGGCCUCAGUUUGUGGCUUCUGUUGACCGGCAGUGGUGAACACAUCACAGUGCAGGGCCUGUCAUCCUUGGAGAGACGUCUCAAGGUUCUCACCCCCAUCUUGACCGGAUUCUCUCUUUAUCACCGCCUGGUGAGAGCUCUUUAUUCUGGCUCCUGUUUUCCCCAGAACCUAGUGGGAAGCUUUUCCUCCCAUCUGUCCUCCAUGCUCGAUGUACAGAGCUGCCAAGCCAUAGGCCCAGAAGCCAUGAGCCAGCCAUGGACGGACACCUCUGACACAGGAGCCAGACCCAGCCUCCUUCCCAGUCCUGCAGGGGAAGGUGACUGGGGCAGAACUCCGCUGCUGUGGCCGGUGCUGAUGGGAUGCUGAGCUGGAGGGAAGGAGGACCUGGGCGCCACCUUGGCACCUGCACUGUAUCCUGGACCAGCAACCCCCAGACAGGGCAGGGAGGCAAUGGCCUAGGAGACAGCUCACAGGUGCCUGUUCUGUGGCCACUGAGGAGGGGAUGACUGGCCCUGGCUUGCCGGUCCUGCCAGAGUCCCAGGGCCCCUGACCCUGGAAGGACAGCAUGGCCCGAGCCAGCCCCACACCCUGCCCCAAGUGGCAGCGAAGGAUGAGGUCAUGGAACCCGGCUUAGUGUGCAUUUCUUUUCUUCUCCACAAUGGAAACUCUUGUCUCAGAGAGGAGAGGGGGGCAGACGGGGGAGGCCCCGGAAUUUGACACAGGAGCUGCGGGGGAUAUGCAGGGGAGAUGAGAAACAAGCUCUCACAUCCUUGCUGUGGGGGGAGGGUGCGAUGGCCCCCCAGCCUGGCCACAGCCUCUCCAGCAUGAGUGAUUCCUUCCACCCUGCAGCUGCCUGCAGGGAAGGGCAGGGGAGGAUUGAAUCCCUGCCUGCUCCGGCUCCUGUAGCCCCUCAGGGCCUUGAGCCUUCGCUCCCCUGGGGGGCAGGAAAGAGCCACCCCCAUCUGCAGCUGUGGCUUCUGGGGUCUCAGUUGCCCACAGUUAGCUCUGAUCUAAAAAUAGGAAGUGGAACUUCCCAGAGAUCCAGGAUCCCUGCGUUCUAAACCACUUUCCCCAGCAGUGGUUGCAGUGAUUGUGCCCCAUCCUUUCACUUGGUCACCGGGCCUUUCUGAGAUGCUGUGGCCCCAGGAUCUCAGACACAGGUGUGUGUGCUGCUCUGGCGAAGUUCUGGUCCGGGGUGGAGGGUUGCUGACUGUGCAGUGGCCGGACAAAGAAGAGGGGCCUCUGGGUCACCCCAGGGACUCCUCUUCCCGAGGCUACUCCUCCCGCCAGCUCCCAGCUCCGAGCUGGUCCAGUGCUUAACACGAUUGCAGGAGAAAGCUCAGACGUCUUGAAACGCCGCCCCCAGGUAAGGGUGACCCCAUGUUCCCGCUGCUCCUCCACCCAGUGCUAGACAGCACUGGGCCCGGGAGCGGCUGCUGGUCCCUGCAGGCCUCACCGCUUCCACUGCAGCUCCCUGCCUGGACCCGGGGCCUCCUGCAGGUGCAGGUGCAGGUGCAGGUGCAGAUGCAGGAGCCCCCCCAGCUCUGGGGGGUGAUCCUACACGCAAGGCACACACACGUGUGCACACAUCACAGCAGCUCUGGGGCCUAAGGGGGAGCAGUCCAGGGAACAGUUGUGUGACUCCUGGAGGGGGGGCAGGGGUCCCCCUGAGGUUUGGAGGUACUGCCUGCAGCCCAACUCAACCCCACCAUGGGACUGAAGUAUAGGCUCUGCUCCCCACAUGGUGCUGUCCCUCUUUCCUCGAGUUCUCGUUGAUUCUCCUGCCUGUUUUCUAUUGUGCUGGGAUGAAUCCAGGCGGCGAGAGAAGACGUCACUGGGGCAGAGAAGCCGGAGGCUGGGGCAGCCUGGCUGGGGGUGGCAGUGACCUGGGAAGAGGAGCAACGAAUGUGGCUGCCCCACAUCUGGCAAAACCCCUGCCCUCCUGGGCCUUUGUUCCUGGUCUGUGAAGUGGGUGUCAUGGUGCUCCCCACCCCCCCGGCAGCGGAGAGGUCUGAUGGUGCCUCGGAAAGGGAGAACGGGCCCCAGAAGUGAGCAGUCAGUGCUGUGAGGUGUGAGCCCUGGAAACCCCAGAUGCUUUCAACCUUUGUGGCAUCAGCACCGUGGGUGCCUCGGGCUCCUCUGUGAGCAUCCCUUUAUCCUCCUGCCAUGCCCGGCCCCCCUGGGCAAGAGUGCUAACCAGGCCCUCAGAGCACUGGCAGCCCAGCCCUGUCCCCGUAGGGCAGGUGGCUGCCGCUUCAUCCCUCCCUGUGCAGCCCAAGACACAGGCCAUUGGGACCCUGUCCUGUGUGGCCCAGCGGGGCCAGGUGGGCUGGUGCCACAACCCUUCCUCCCUGUCCUCGAUGUCCCUUCCUUCCUGUCCGGGUGGGGGCAGAACCCAUCAGGCUGCCUGGCCGGCUCCCCGGCCUGGCAGCUGCUCCCCUGGAACGGAGCAGUGACAGGGUGGACUUGGUCACCCUGGUCAUGCUUGUGGUCCUGACCAGCGCAGAAGACUUCCCAACAGCGACUCAGCCCAGCCCGCUCUGGGUCUGGAAGCCUCCUCGGAAGAAACGCAGACUGGGAAUUAAAAUGGAAAAAGCCGUUCCUGUGAUCAUUUAGCGCCUGGCCAGGACACGGAGCCACUAUCCCAGGGAGCUCCUGAGCCUACGCAUCGCCCAGGACCCGGCUGCUGUCCCACGCGGGGGCAGAAACGGACCUAUUGGCCCAGAGCCCGGGGUCUGGCGGCAGCAGGCAGAAGCAGUCCGGAUCCAAACCCUGCCUGGUGUGUUCGCUCCGCCCCUUCCGUUGGUGACGCCCACCACCAGCCCUGCAGUCCCCUCAGGCUGCAUGGGGGACGUUUGGCUCCCUUUGCUCUGCCUUUUGGCCCAAGAGGCCUCAGCUCCUCCCCACGUUGUAGGGGGCAGAGGGCCCAGGCUGCCAGAACUCUUGGCUUCCGACUCUGAGGCAGCCCCAAGAAGAGAAUUUGGGGAACAUGCGGGGCGUCUCCUUCAAGGCCCGACCGAAGCUGGCAGCAUCUCUCUCUGUGCUUGAGAUGCUUCCACACCGUGGCCAAGAUGUGGCCACAUAAGCCUGUCCUGCUUCCUUCCAAUGCUCUGUGCCUCCCAUCCGGCAGCAGGGAGGCUGGAAACGCACAGAAGUGAGGAACGGCAGUCGCCAGACCUUUGGACAGACAGGGGCUCUCUUCUCUAAAAAAGAGGGAAAAGCCUUUGGCAAAAAACUUAAAUUCUUCCAGCCAGGCAUGGUGGCACACACUUGUCAUCCCAGCACUCAGGAGGCUGAGGCAGGAGGAUCGUUGUGAGUUCAAGGCCAGCCUGGUCUACAAAGUGAGCUCUAAGCCAGCCUGAACUGCAUGGUGAGACCCUGUCUCAAAAAGACACAGAAA